rnacentral:misc_RNA from 1 species
CAUAGGCAAUUUGAUAUAGAAAUUUGGAUCCUGGAUUCAAGUUGCGGGCUUUUCUCCUUGCUAUAGAUGCUGUUAUCAUUAUUGAAAAUGGUAGCAGACAAUUUUCUGUGAUGGCAUUUUUAAGUGGUAUUUGGGAACAUUGGAUCCCUGCUUGAAUACCGCUUUUCAUCAUUCAUUAUGAUGCCUGUUUUUGUGGGACAACAUUAUCAUAUUACUGUAAAUGCAUGCACAGAACUGCUUAAAAAUUAGAUUGUCACCUUUUAUAGAAUUUUUAGCUUGUCUGGUUUUACUUAAUGGUUUAUCUCAUGAUAUGGAGACAGGUUGGAAGAAUGACUCUUGGUG